CCGGGGCUGCUCUGCUCGUCGUCGAACUAUCGAAGUCUCGUCUCUCCACCAGUCCGCCUCCUCAAGUCCACCGCCGAACGCUCCCCCCGCCAGUUCGCUCCACGCCUCCACCUCCGCUGGGGUUAGAAAUUUUAUUAGAUUGAGAAUUUUAUGGCAAAGUGGACCGCUCUCCCCGUCCGUCCGCUCCACGCCUCCACCUCCGCUGGGGUUAGAAAUUUUAUUAGAAUGAGAAUUUUAGGGCAAAGUAAAUUAUUUGUAAUCCCAUUGAAAUUGAAACUUAAUGGCUUAAAUUUACACCAUAAGCUCUCCCAUGUUCUUUGUCAUCUGGCCAACCUCAUUAUUUGUCCCGUUGAUGACUUAAACCAAUGAUACUCCCUGAACAAGUUUAAUUUUAGUAAUAGCAACUUUGUGUGUUCUUUGGGAUAUGAUUCACCCCCAUAUUGAUAUGAUAUUUGAAGGAGAUUUAUGGAUGUUUACUUUAAAUAAUAUGAAUAAGUCAAAAUGAAAUCCUGCAUGUAGGUUCUGCUUGAAGGCUAUAGCUGAUAUCACACGAGAGCUUUCUAGUUAACCGUGAAAGUAGCUUUCUACAUUUUUCCUUUUGUUUGCAAAAAUGGGAAAGUGUCCAUUGCUUAGUUUUGGAGGAGUUCUAUAAUCACGGUAGUAAUGGUUUUUUGUUCCUUUUAUAUAUCUGAAUACUGAAAAGAUUUUUGGUGCACUGUACUGGUCUUUAAUCUACACUUAGAAAGUCGUUAAAAUGUGCAUAAUUGGUUUUGUUGGAGCUUGGAAUGCACUGUACUCAUUAGUGUUGAACUGUACUGACAGUUUAUAUUUUUGCUUGUUGAAUUGCUUAGUUUCCUUAGGAGAAAGGGUUAUUCUUGAUAUGCUCAGAUGUUUCUCUAUGGACUAUAUUUGAAACACAUUAUCCAAUUGUUGCUAUCAUUUUUGUUCUUACUUGUUCUUUCUAGUUGUUUUAUUCCCCUGUAUUUAUGUUAAAGGCUUGAACUAAAAUUCAUUUUUCUCUUUUGUAGUGAGGACUUCAAAAGUUUCAGGAACACAGCUAUCUUAUUCAAGUAGAUCGAGAUGUCAUAGUCAUGGUGGGGGUCGUGCUCGGAUAAACCUUUUUGAUUGAUUUGCAAGAGUUGUCAAGGUUGUUUGGGACUGUUGGCUUCAGUCAGAAAUCAUUGAAAUGUUAUUGACUCUAUAUCAUCUGUUUUAAGUGUUGUCAUAUGAAAUCCAGAAUGAUCAAUACGCUAAUGUCAUAUGCAUAUGCAAAUCCUUUUUUUCAGAAUUUAUUUGGUUGUGUUUAAAGAAUUACAGUUUACUCACAAUCAAUGGCAGACCCUAUCCAACUAAUCCAAGUUAACAUUUUCACUUUUUCAGGCCCUUGAAGUAUAGCAGAAGCUAGAAUGGAAUAUGAGAUUCAGAUUGGAUCCCGUAUUUCAAGAAUUAGUCAAGUCAAUAGUGUAAGUUGUCGCUUUUAGACUUGUUCUACUCCCAAGUGGGCCUCUUCACAGUAAUCAAAAUUCUUUUGUUUAGACUUAAUAGAGGUUCCAAGCCAUCGUUUUCUCUGGACAAGGGAACUGCUUGGCGAAGGAACUCCACAAGGAAGAAGAUAUCUUCUUCUUGAAGUACGACUGAAGUUCUGUUGUCCCACUUGAAAAAUAAAAUGUAAAUCGAUUUAGGGACAUGAACUUUAAAAAUUGAUUGAGUGAACAAGUUGUCAUUAUGACUUAUGACUUAUGUGUUAAUGCCUAAAUAUGAUUUAAGAUGCAGUAAAAUUUCUUUAUCAACUUCUUACUCCAUUUCAGUAAAUAUACAACUUUCUUGCCUUCUCAUUCUUCUUUCUAUUAUUGUAAACUGGAUCUAUGUAUUUUCACCUCGAUUAGUUUCUUUAUCAAUUUCUGUUAUUGUAAAAUGCAAUCUCUUUACUGACCCCCAAAUCAGUCCAUCUUAUUUCAAAUGCAUAAUGGUGUUAGUUUAUGAGCCCCAAAUUUGAGAUUUUUCCUUUCUGAGAAGCUUCAUUUGGGUACUUAUUAAAUGUGCAAGAAUCUUCUAAGGAAGCUUCUUGUACUGCAUGUUGUUCUUAACUAAACCCUGGUCCUAGGAGUUAAAUCCUGCUAUGUUUCUGGCGUAAUUUUGUGCUAAUGUCCUCAUUGCUUGGAAUCAACUAUGAGCUUUUAUACCACUGUUGAUUGCUUCCCCAUUUGGUCUUGCCUUAACAAAUGUAAGCAUCCUUGUAAUUUGUCUUGUAACAGCUGAAGAAAUUGUCAUGGUAGUAUCUUGUAGCUGAUCUUGACGUUGACAUGAUCAAAAGAGACAUCGAUCUUAGUCUUCAGAGUUUUAAGAAACAAAGAAUCUUUGUUGUCGACUCCAAACCUUUUAUCUCAAUACUCUGAUUUCUUUAGUUUUGAACGUUCACCAAUUCUGAUUAAGACCUUGAGCAAGUACUAUUAAAUGGAUCAUGAUUAUCUUUUUCAAUCCAGUCAAUAUACUUCAUUAUAUGUUUCUUUAAUGUAUUGCUUAUGAUAUUGGUAGGAAAUGACAACAGAUCCCUUAAAUCAAGUGAAGCUGGGAUUUGUUAGUGGACUUGUUGGUAGAGAAAAAUUUAUGGCUUUUGAAAGAAUUCUGUUUAGAGCAACCAGGGGAAAUGUGUUUCUUAAACUAGUGGGAAUGGAAGAUCCAGUGAUUGAUCCGGUGUCAGGAGAUAAUGUAAUAAUAGAUGUUCUUUCACUAAUUCUGAAUUCUGGAUUUACGCAAUGAUGGAACUUUUGUAUAUCCCAUCAUGCAUGCUUCUUUUGAAAAUAGAAUUAUCGAAGUUCAGAAUCAAUUAUCUUCUUUUUGGUUUGUGUUGGCUUGUUGCUGAUGCAUAAUAAGAUGUAUUGUGUGAUAAACUCUAAUAUACAUGGGCAUCUAAACCAAUCUUCAACCCCUGCCUUAAAAAAAAAAAAAAAAAUUAGGAAAAAGGAGGAAAAAAAUGCUUAGUAAAAAUUAGUUUGUGUAUAUUGGAGUUUUUUGAUAUAGUUAUUUUCUUUGCUUUUCUUUUCGAUUAUAAUUGGUACAAAUGUCUAAAAUGUGGCUUAUCUUUAUCUCCAUUUUUUUAUAGGCUGGGACCGAUAUUUAAGGCAUAGGUCAUGUCGAAGAUUGUUGAGAAGAAAAUUAAGGAGGUCGAUAGGGUUGUUUCACUCACUACUUAGUGGUUUUUUUUUUUUUUUUUUUUUUGGGGAAAAUGUAUUGGAUUUUUAGGUGUUUUAGAAUUUUGGAUUUUGUACAAAUAUUGUUACAUUUUAGAGUUCAAUUAAUAAUUAUUAUUGGAG
rnacentral:lncRNA from 1 species